rnacentral:rRNA from 1 species
CCUACGGGUGGCAGCAGUGGGGAAUAUUGCACAAUGGGGGAAACCCUGAUGCAGCGACGCCGCGUGAGCGAUGAAGUAUUUCGGUAUGUAAAGCUCUAUCAGCAGGGAAGAAAAUGACGGUACCUGACUAAGAAGCCCCGGCCAACUACGAGCCAGCAGCGGCGGUAAUACGUAGGGGGCAAGCGUUAUCCGGAUUUACCGGGUGUAAAGGGGGCGUAGACGGCGAUGCAAGCCAGAUGUGAAAGCCCGGGGCUCAACCCCGGGACUGCAUUUGAAACUGUAUAGCUGGAGUGUCGGAGAGGCAGGCGGAAUUCCUGGUGUAGCGGUGAAAUGCAUAGAUAUUAGGAAGAACACCAGUGGCGAAGGCGGCCUGCUGGACGAUGACUGACGUUGAGGCUCGAAAGCGUGGGGAGCGAACAGGAUUAGAUACCCUUGUAGUC